GUAUUGAUAUGUAUAAUUUGGCAUUUAUCAAAGGCAGAGGCUGAGACUAGAAAUUUGAAGAAAAGACCGAUGAGCAGUGCAUUCCCAUUGCAAUCUAGAAAAUCCAGAGAUAUGUAUUCUCGUUCUCAUGUUUCAGUCAGAUAUUCAUAUGGGAAUCUUGAGAAGCAAAAGGUGGGUUUUAAACCUCAGACUAAUUCUGUGGCUAGUGUGGAAAAUUUAAGAUUUGUUAGACCCGAGUGCCAAUGAUGUGGUAAAAGUCACCUUGGUCCAUGUAGAACUAACAAAU
rnacentral:lncRNA from 1 species